AGGAAUAUUGGUCAAUGGGCGCAAGCCUGAACCAGCCAUCCCGCGUGCAGGAAGACGGCGCUAUGCGUUGUAAACUGCUUUUCCAGGGAGAGAAACUUGCGCACGUGUUGCGCAAUUGACGGUACCCUGGGAAUAAGCAUCGGCUAACUCCGUGCCAGCAGCCGCGGUAAUACGGAGGAUGCGAGCGUUAUCCGGAUUCAUUGGGUUUAAAGGGUGCGUAGGCAGACUAUUAAGUCAGUGGUGAAAUCCUGCAGCUUAACUGCAGAACUGCCAUUGAUACUGAUAGCCUUGAGUUUGGUUAAGGUAGGCGGAAUGUGUAAUGUAGCGGUGAAAUGCUUAGAUAUUACACAGAACACCAAUUGCGUAGGCAGCUUACUGGGCCGACACUGACGCUGAGGCACGAAAGCGUGGGGAUCGAACAG
rnacentral:rRNA from 1 species